ACCUACGGGAGGCAGCAGUGGGGGAUAUUACACAAUGGGGGAAACCCUGAUGCAGCGACGCCGCGUGAGCGAUGAAGUAUUUCGGUAUGUAAAGCUCUAUCAGCAGGGAAGAAAAUGACGGUACCUGACUAAGAAGCCCCGGCUAACUACGUGCCAGCAGCCGCGGUAAUACGUAGGGGGCAAGCGUUAUCCGGAUUUACUGGGUGUAAAGGGAGCGUAGACGGCAGUGCAAGUCUGAAGUGAAAGGCAAGGGCUCAACCCUUGGACUGCUUUGGAAACUGUGCUGCUGGAGUGUCGGAGAGGCA
rnacentral:rRNA from 1 species